AGAUACCCGACAGGCUUUAAGACACAGAGAUGGUGCUCUGAUAAGGUAGCACAGCUGAGAAACGGCAAAAGGAGAGAGAGAGAAGAUGUAGGAGGCAGAGAGAGAGAGAGACAGAGACAGAGAGCUGUUUCUUCUGCUGUACUGUAGUUUGAAAGUCACAGAAAUAGCUGAGUCUUGCAGGAGACAACUUGAAGGGCUUUGGUGGUAUAAAUACCCUGCUUUAAAUGGAUUAAAGAAACCGCUCGGUCGCCUGUCACCGCCACACACAGGGGAGGGAGAGAGAGAGCUGGAGGAGACAGGAGGAGGAACAUACUGGAACUUACAGAAGGAAGAGGAAGGAGUUGAGGUAUCUAGUCUGUAUAUCGGACAGUGGUUGGUACGUGUGUGUGUGGAAGAAAACAUCAACUCGUCUACUGUUCUCUAUGACCGGCUGCUCUGAACUCACCUGGACAGACAGAUGAGAAGGAGAGAACACAGGGAAGGACAGUAGUGAAUCAGAUAGAGCUGCAGCUGCACCUCGUCGGCAGAGGACUACAGACUACCCACCAAAACGACCGGCUGGCUGACCGACCGACCGACUACUCCCCUUCGGUGGCUUUAUUGAAUGGGACCCUGGGCACAGAGCGGGGCUGGAGAAUUUAAAAUACGUGUCCCUCAGGAGUACUCCUGUCCUACACGCGUAGCUGUGCCCCGAGCAGCGAGCUGCGAAACACACAGCCAAUAAAUCAAUAGCAGGGACCUCAGAUUCCUCCAUUACCACCUUCCCCCCCCGGCUGGCCUGGCGGAGGACAGCAGCAGAGCUACAGAUGAGAACCUGCUGACCAGGGCCUAACCACCACAGCCCCUGGAGGACAGCCCCUGGAGGACAGCCGUGGAGGACAGCCCUGGAGGACAGCCGUGGAGGACAGCCCUGGUUCUGGACCCUCUCUAACCAUCAACACAAGACAAGGGUGUUCUGACUGCAGUGGUGAGGAGGGCGGAGGCCUGGUUGUGGUCCCUCUGGUUCCAUUUGGAGCUACAAUACACCCGAAGGCAGCUAAACACAGAGAAGCCCACAAUGACAUCCUGAAAAUACUUAUUUUAUAGUUAUUUUCUCUCUCCUCUUAUUUCUAGACCUUCAAGUCCUUGUGUUUUUAUUCAAGCAGGUUUUUACACAGGGAGAAAAUAACACGAGUAUAAGCAUUGUCCGUGAUGAUGCUUUUUGAGGAUUACGUCUUGAUGUUUGACAGUUACAGGGAAAUUGAAUUCAGGCUUUAAAACCCCGUCCCAAUAUUUCCCAUGUCCUCUGUCGCUACAGUAAUCAAGGUUGUCCACGUUCAGAGUGUUAUUUGAGACUGAGCAACAAUAGCAUGUUCAUGACCGUAUACACACUCCAUCUCAUGUGAGAGGAGAGACAAGGGCCCCAGCUUUAAUCCACCGGCCCCUGGAACAAAUCAUCUGACGUGUGAAAAGAAAAAGACACAACACAACAGAACAGAACAGAACCCAACAGAACACAACAGAACCCAACCCAACAGAACCCAACA